CCAUUUCGCUCGUCCCGCUCCGCACCGUUGAGCUGCCGUCGAUGAACAAUGGGCCGAGACGU
rnacentral:sRNA from 2 species